rnacentral:lncRNA from 1 species
UCACAGGAAGCUCUUAGGAAUUAUAUAAUAGUGCUGGAGUGAAUGAAACAAGAGGCUUCACAGCAACUUCACUGCUCUCCGUCUUAAGAGCUGUCUCAGUUUCGGCAGAUUUAUUCUCUUGAGUGGUUGAUGGUAUCUGGAUGUCUUUUGGGUGAUUAAAUUUGCAGGUUGCACCAUACUUGCAUUGCCCAGUUUUCAAGUAGAACUGUGUAGAUUUAUUUUUUGGUCCAAAUCAACAUAUUUUAUAGAUAGAUAAUACACAUUACAAAAGUAUGGGAUAGAUAUCUCACUGCACAUGGGGGUUCAGAAGGCCUCUCAGGUAGGGCAUUAACAUCACCAUUUUCCGAAGCACCCUGAAACCAGAGUAUGGUAUCAUAUCAUUAUAACUACAGUGAGCAAGUCUGGAUAAUAAUUAAAUCUUGGCAUCCUAAUACUUACCGCAGUAGCCAGUUUGUCCUUUGGAUGAUUAAACUUGCAUUUAAGACCAAACUUGCAUCUUUGAGUUUUCAGAAAGUACUACGAGAUAUAGAAUGGCAGGGUAUAUGUGAGCUGUUUAACUGUUUAAGUCCUUAAACACAUUAUAUAGAUAAAAAAGAAUAAAAAAAUGCUACUCACUGGACAAUCUGGCGCUCCAGGUCUUUCAGGAAGGGACUCACUUGGAGCAGCAAGUGGAACCUAAAUGAACAAGAGAUCAAUUAUGUAUUUUAGCAAUAUAUCUUCAUUGGUUCUUUUGCCACAACUAAUAAGCAAACUGGAAAUAGCACACAAAGAACAAAAACAGUUGCAAACCAUUUUCUAAGCUUAACAGAUAGUCAAUGAAGAAUUGAAGAUGGUACAAAUAGGCAGAAACCAAACACUAAGUAGACCAGCCUAAUUACUUGCCAGAAAACAAAAUAAAAAAUUAUAAAGUUGAGCUACUACCACAACAGAAGGCUCGUCUAAACAUGUACGUAUGUAGGUUAACCAUCAGAUGGAAACUCAGCUUACAUGGAAUAACCCUAUGUAUAGGGAUGAAAUGGAACAUAGGCUUAAUGAAGAAACUAUUAUACUCUUGUUAUCACACAAUUGAUAGUGAUGAAAUUGAAACCCCUUUUUUACAUUAUAUAGGUGAAGCAAAGGAAUAUGCCUACAAAGACGUUAAGCUUUUAGGCAAAACAAAAACAAAUAUUAUUGACCUACUAACCGGCUCGACGUGCAAUAUUUAUCAUCAACUAGCGAAUUGCUAAUGGUCUAAUGGAGCUUCCAAUCCUCAAUGAAUUGCCACACCCUUCACAUGACCAAUAAGGCAAUAACCAACUCAUACAUGACAAACACAUAAAGAUAAAAGCACCUUCUCCACUUGUGUACCAGUACAACCCUACAACCAAUCUGAACAGUUGAUCCAUAGCUUCAAGCCUUCAUGUUAGCUCCACAGCAUCUUGAAAAUAAAUGCAGGAUCACCUCCAAAUUACCAAAAAGCCCCUCAUGAAUUUUGAUGAGAAUGGUAUUUCAGACAGACUACCCAUGAGGAAUCUCAAAACUCAGACCUAGUGAAUAUGCAUGCAAAUCCAAAGCAAAAGGUGGGUGCAUCAAACUUAUGUCACUUGAGGGAUCUACACAACGAGACAUUCUACCAGAUAUACAAAAUCAAGACAUGGGGGGCUCUUUACCUAAGCAAUGAUCAUGAGUGAACAUCCAUCAAUUCACUCACUGAAAAAUGUCCUUAAAUAGUUAAAUAUGCUUCAGACAGUUCGUGACUAAUCAACAGAGAUCAGUCUGCUCAUAUAUAGAUAGACUUUUACAGAAAUUGAGAUGAUACUAGAUUUUCAACAGGUGUUUUUCAAAAAUAAAAAGUUAAAAAUUAACCAGAAGACAAAAUAGAUAAGUUUUAUCUCUUAAUGACCCACAGGGUAAGAGGAAUGAGUGAAUGACCUACUAUGGAAAACUAAGAAGAGUACAUAAUUUCCCAACGCUGGACUUUUUGCAGAAAAUAUAGCAGGUAUAGAAACUAUAAAACAGAUAUAGCUAUAAAAGUAAAGAAUAAGUUACAAUUCAUACUACAUAACAGUAGAUAUUAUAGGAAGCUAGAAACAUAUUCAAAUAACUCUAAAAAAAGUAUCUAUCCGUACCUUAAAAAACCAAACAGCUUACAGGAUAUGAUCAAUCCAUUCAUAAGCUUAGCGAAAUUAUAUAGAAUUGAUUAAUUAUUUUAAUAAAUGUACUUCAUAGUACUUGUAUAUAAUACGGUAAAAGUCAUAAAGCUAUAAGUAUAGGCAUAAGAUAUAAUAAUAAGCAGUCACAUCUUUCCAAUCUGGGAUUCCACCCUCAGGAACCCAAAUAGGAUGGUCAAACUUGCAGGCCUCUCCAAAUCAUACUCGGCGAUAAGCAAACUAUAAACACACAAUAUUAUACACACCCUAAAGCUAAUAGCUUUACAUAAUCAUUAGACAUAACACUCAGCAAAAUCUUAUAUUACUUUACAUAAUCACACUUCACACUUAACUAAAUCACCAAGCUAUAAACACAAUCACAUCAGUUCACAACACGAAAAGUUCGAAAACUUUAAGCAAAUUUGCAUCAAAUUCAAUUCAAAGAUUCAAACUUUCCAAUCAGCAAACAGAUAUGUACACUAGUGUGAGAGCUCACCAACCUUCAGAGGAGCGUUUGAAGCCAUUCUCUUGAUCGUAAUUCGGGUUUGGGAGGUCCAUCUUUGCAACGUGACCUGUACGGUUGCUGCAUGAAAUCCCUUUCCAUCGACAGCAAUCCAGACCCACCCAAGAUGAAAGCCUGCUGGAAGGAUCAUAAACAUCUGCUUUGAAACUGAGAAGUGCUCGUCCCUCUUCCUCGAUGCAUGAUGAUGAUCUCACACCACUCGGAAGUUCAUCUCCCAAACACACUUGAGAAGUACCGUGCAUGUAUGAAGAUGCCAGCAAAAGAAAGAGCAAGUAGCGAGCAACAUUGUUGAUGAGGAAGCCAGAGCUGGUAGGCUUGAAUAUCUUCGCACAGAAGCUAUCCAUGAUUACACACACUUUGGUUCAAACUUGUGGAAAUGUAUAAAAUUCUGAAACCGAGUAACAUUAAAUACUGAAGUCUGAAAGGAAUGGUAUCCUAAGUCAUCAACGACCCCGGCCCCUUUUUUAAGUUUCCAAGUCCACCCAUUCUACUGCUCGAGAGUCAUGAGCCAUAUAUACGUUGAAGGGAUACUGGAACUGAACAUGAAAGGUGCCUACAUCUCCAUCAAGUAGUUGCUAAGUUAGAAUCAAUGAGAUAAUUGUUAGGAAACUGCUGUGUCUUUGCUUAGUCAUGUGGAUGAUAUAUAUGAAACACAGACUUAACAAGAAAUAUGGAUUAAGGUCAUGAUUGGCACUAUACACGACUCUAGCUGUGAUUUUAGCCUCUACGAUUUUGGGUACAUGACUUUUGAAUUGUGAAUACUAGUAUAGCACUCGGUAAAAGGUUUGAUUGCUCAGGUAACGGUCAAUAUAAUAAUGCAUCAUCCAAGAUCUCCACCUCAAGGAAAGAGUUUCUCUCGCAUAAUCCCGCAACACAAAAAUCUGCAGCUAAUGUGGUAACAGGGAGCAAAUGCAUCAAUCAGACGAGAUCACUGUUGUAACACAAUUACAAAAGACAAAGCAUCAAACCUAAAGAUAAGCACAUGAACUCUAACGUAGCAGCCAAGAUGCAUCAAACUGCAAACUUAAUAUGCAUCUCGUAGUUAUAUAACUAAACAAAAUUAGCAUACUAAAAAUGAUGCUUUCUUUACUGCAUUCAAAAUAUAUAGUUCCAAAAAUGCACAAGGUAGCUGAAUUACACUCUAGUGAUCCAGCCUCAACAUAAAUCAGCAGUAAGCUACUCUAACUACAGAUAUUGCCGCAUUUAUGCAUUAUCACUAUCACUACUAGCCUUUGGUUUUUUUUUUUUUUUUUUUUCCCUUUACUGAGUUGGUUUAAUUUUUGGUGAUUACAGUCUUACAGAGGAAUUAAGUAUAAAGAAAACAAAACAAAUAAAAAGCAGAGGGGAUGAUACCUAAGCGAAAGAGCAGCGAUUGGUGCUCAUCGGAAUUCCACCAGCAAAGGCACCCAGGUAGUACAGCAAUUGCUUCAUGAACUGCUCUUGGUCCUUAUCUUCACAUCACCAUCACCAAAUUUCACCAAAAAUCCACAACCAAAAAAUCUAGUAUUUUUUUUUUUUUUACUUGAUCACAAUUUCACAUCACUACUCAAAACUACAGAAAGAGGGAGUGACUGGCGAGGGCAUUGUAGAAGUCACGGCCGAGGAAAUUGAAGCCGACGCUGAUUCCGGUGGUGGCGAGAGUGAGAAGAAACACUCCGCCGAGCUGCAUCCUCGCCUGGACCUUGUCGUCGGAGGACCAGUACGGCGCCGCCACCUUCCAGAAUCUCCGGAGCAGCGUCUGCAAAUCCGAACCUUCCCUUUGCUGCCAGAUUCAUCAAAUCAGAAUCACCAAACCAAACUUGCACUAACCAAAACUAGAGAAUCUACAGUAAUAAAGCACGCACCUUUUCCGGCGGAGUUGGCGGCGGCGGUUGUGGAACCGAGUCAGACGCGGCCGCGGCACAACGCCAUGAAGCGGCGUCGUUUCGUCUCCUUCUGAUUGGCAUUGUGUGGAGGGAUGAGGGAAGCGUGGGUGUUGUGACUACUAGUGAUUUAAUGUGAUGGUGGGAGUGGUGGGUGGAGUAGCCAUGAGUCAAGCACAGUGAGACGUAGAGAGUUUGAGCAGCCAGUGUUAUCAUUUUUUGUUUUAAAUUUCGUUUCUUUUUGUUACUGGGUUUUAUUUUCUGGUUAUGGUUUGGUACGGAUCCGGCUCCUUAAACUGAGGAGCCCGUAACAUUAGUUUAAGUUUAUAAAAUUCACACUUUUUAUCUAAUACUAAUUUUUAUACUCACGAUACUCGCGUAUGAAAACGUUGUUAAUAUGUAGUUUUCCUUUUCCUUUUGUGAAGUACGUUAAUAGGUAGCUGGAGUUUUUAGUAACAGAAAAUAAUUUAGUAGUGAUUCGUGUUUUAAUUGAGACUUCUAUGAAACUGUAAUAAAAAAUGUGGAAUAUCUAAAUGAAACCCAGUAAAUUUCACCUAUUACUAAAUUUUGGCACUAAAAAAGAACAAAGAAAAAAUCCAAUUUAAAGUACCAAGUGAAUACAAUUGAAGAUUUGUAAUUCUUUCCUCAACCACCAAAAAAUAUUUUCAUGCUUAUCAAACGAUAGAGCAGUAGCAGCAAUUACGGGAGAGCAACUCAUCCCAUUGGAGCUUGUUCUAACUGCUAAGGCUUCCAUUAUCUGCAAUAGGACGCACUUUUAUGCAUGAUUUUUCCCAUAUGACGUUCUUUUUUCUCCAUGACUGCACUUUGGAGUUUGGACCAUGAUUCAGAAAUCAGAACCCACAAAAAGUAUUGAUGCGAUAUCUCGACAGAAACAGUAAGCUCCAAAAUCAGUGGAACAAUCAAAGCAAACAAAAAUAUAUAUAUCAUCAUAACAAAAACUAAAAUCUAACUGAAAUAUUGUAGAAGAGAAACACAAAUCAAUUGAGACUUGAGAGGCAACUGAAAGUAGAAGAAUCAAUCCCAGACCUUACCGUGAAGAACCAUUGCCCGUCUCCAUUUUACAAUAAAAACAAUCUCGCAUAUUAGGAGUCUAAGUUCAAUAAACAACUACUAUGAACUAAUCCAUUUAGCCAGUACAUUUAAAUAAGAAAAAUACAAAAUCAUUCAAAGAAAUGAAAGAAAAUAUGAUCACCAAUGCAGGCACCUAAGAGUGACCAAUAACAUUUUAAUAGAAAGUCACAUACCUGAAGUCUGGAACCUGUGUUUGUAAACACCAGCUUUCCACUUGUCCAUAUAUCUUUCAUAUUGUUGUUGGCUUGUUGCCAAGAGAAUGGAACGACAGAGAACAAAGUUGAUCCAAUCAUUUCAUUCAUCAAAUGCAAUACUACUUCAGACAGUAAACCCAUUAAAUUUAAAUUGAUGAACAGAUCAAGUGAAAAUGGUUUGGGAUAUGAUCAAAGUUUUUGAUAAAUUAAGAUCAAUGGAAUAAGGAAUUAAAGGAAGUCCACAAAUUGAGUUUAAGAGACAGAUACAUACCUCUUUUCUUCUGGCCGAGUUUGAUCCCCAUCUUUCUUCUUUGCUCUUUCCCACUUAAAUCCUCAUCUUCCCUCUUUCUGUGUUUGAUUCUCCUAAUGUAUAAACUGUCUUCAAUAUGUAAAAUCAAAUAGAGCCCAGUUGAACUUCAUCAAAGAACCGUUCAGCAAAGCAUAUAUAUGAAAUAUCUUAAAUAAAAAUAAACAUUGACGAAGAUGAAUGAAAGAAAGAACUUUUUGUGGAACUUCAAUGGCAAUUCAGUUAACAAAAACAACUAAUCUCUACUGCAAUAACAAAACAAUCUUAUGAGGUGAUACUGUACCUCCCCUCCUUGAAAUGGAAACUUAUUCCAUGACUGAGCCGGCUGAUCCGUUUUCAAUGUUUUUUUUUUCCUAUUUUUGAGACUGAUUUUGGGUACGAUUGGUCCCUCGUUUUAUAGGAAACCGUAUCUACCCCGAUAACAUCCCCUACCCCGAUAACCUCCCACAUCUUCCCCAGUCUCCGCUGGUGUCGUGUUCGUGCGGCUGCAGUUAUCUUUCGCCUGCAGAUCGUGCACAGGGUUAUUUAUUAUUUAUUUUUUUUCCAAACCUUCCGUUUAUAUAGUUGGUCUGACUUUUUUGUUAUUUUACAAUAUCAGCCCUUAUAUUUGUUUGUCUGAGUCAGAUGAUUAAAGGGCAGAUCAGACGGUUCAUAAUUUGGUGAAUUUCUAAACGCCUGGCUUUAUUGUUAGGGCCAAUUACAUAGAAGUCCAUUUUGAGACAUUUUUUCUCAUAUAGGUCCACCUAAACAUUUUUACCCACAUAAGUUCAUCCAAGCCUAAAUAGAGUCUUAUAUUAGGUAUUAAAGUUUAAUAAAAUUACAGAAUGUCAUCCAACCAAAAAAUUAGAUUUUCUCUCUUAUAUUUAUAAAAAUACCACUAAUAUAAAAAGUCAACAAUCACAAAUGGUCUCUGGCUGACCUUUCGGCGAGGACUCCGGCCGACCUCCGACGAAUUUUCCGGCCAACCAUUUGUGAGGAUUCUAGCGACCACAAAAGCUACUACUACUGACAACAAAAGAUACUAUCGCCGACAAAGAAAGCUACUACCACUGACAACAAAAGAUAUUACCGAUAGCAAAAAAAACUACUACCACCAGCAAAGAAAACUACUACCGAUAGCAACUAAAGCUAUUACCGAUAGCAACAAAAGCUACUACCACAAGCAAAGAAAGCUACUACCAUUAAUAACAAAAUAUACUACUGAUAGCAAAAAAAACUACUGCCACCAGUAAAGGAAGCUACUACCGAUGGCAACAAAAGCUAAUACCACCAGCAAAGAAAGCUACUACCACUGACAACAAAAUAUACUACUGAUAGCAAAAAAAGCUACUGCCACCAGCAAAGAAAGCUACUACCGAUAGCAACAAAAACUACUACCGAUAACAACGGAAGCUACUAUCGCCAGUAAAAAAAGUUACUACCACUGACAACAAAAUAUACUACUGAUAGCAAAAAAAGCUACUGCCACAAGCAAAGAAAGCUACUACCAAUAGCAACAAAAGUUACUACCGCCAGCAAAAAUGCUACUACCGCCACCAACAAAAGUACUACCACCAGCAACCAAAACUACUACUGCCACCAAUAAAAGCUACUACCAUAACCCACAAAAUAUACUACAACCACCGACAAAAAUACUAUCUAAGUAAUACAAAAUCUACUCGAUCUGUCAAAAUAUACUAUUACAAUGACAAAAAUGUACUGCAACUGUGUUGAAAAUAUACUACACUCUAAGACCUUUACAAAUUUGAAAUUUCGAUUGCAUUCAUCUCAUACACUAUCGGAACACGAUCACAUUAUUUCUCUUCCACUGAAUUUCUAUCGAAUGAAGAGCAACAUCAACACAAAACAUCACCCUACUCUUUGUUUACAAUUUCUCAAAACCAAAGGAAAUAGACUCUAGCCAAAUUACAAACGCAUCUUACCAUGCAAUGGACUCAAACACUAUACAAGCUACCAAGGAAAACUAUCAAAUAUACAUGGAGAAAUCUGAGGGCAGAUAAUCAAUGUAGGAUCGGAGCCGACCUCUUGCCAACCUCCGGCAGACCGCUUCUGAACACUGAAAAUUGAAACCCUAAGAUGACGUCUUCGCCGUCGACAGUGGAUUUGCCACCAUGAAGGUCAACGACGAGAUCGGGAGAAAGAUCCGACAGAUCUACUAAGGCGCAGAAGAUCUCUGCUUCAGUAGAGGAGGCGCGUGACUAGUCGGGCGCCGAGCAGGAGGUGGACGACGUCGUCGUCGUAAUCAGUUGGAUCUUGUAAAUGCGAUCGAGGUCGAAGAAAAAGUCGUCGAGGCAUCGUCGACGGUCGAUCCAGAUUCCAAAACUCACCGUCGAGGCGGCGUCAUCGUCAGAAAUGCAAUCGAGGAUGACAGAAAAUCGUCGUCGAGGCGGCGGCGGCUUCAUCGUAGCGACGGCUUCAAAAUCAAAGGUGGAAGAAUGGAGAGAGAGAGAGAGAGAGAGAGAGANNNNNNNNNNNNNNNNNNNNUUCUAUUAUUGUUAUUGUAGUAGAGAUAAAGGUUUUGAGCAUGACACAUCACUCUUAAAUUAAUUUAGGUUAACCCAUGAUUAACUUUCGUAAACUGCCGUCAACUAAGUAAUCUAAAAAAAAAAACAGAUAAAAAGCAGACGAUUUAUCGUCUCCUGUUGUACUGCGUCUGCUGUCUUGCUUCUGUGCUGUUCUUUUGUUCCUCUGCGCGACAAUGGAAACUCGUCCAUGGUUACAAGAAGGCACAAAUACAAUCAAGGUCAUCGAGGCACAGAAGAAAGGGUUAAGUUCCUUUGAUGUGCAAGAGUCUGUUCAUUCCUUUUUAUUGUCUAGUUUGAGGGGAUUUCAUUUAUUCAAACAUAUAACUUUCAGAUCAUGGGGUAUGCGAGACUCAAAGAUCGUUGCUAAACUUUGAAAUCAACUGUUUGAUUCUUUUGUAUUUGGGAUUUUUGUAGCGAGUUCUAAUAAUGCACAUAAGAUGUUUGAUGAAAUGACAAGCUCAAUUUUUUUAUAUCGAAUUCAAAUUUUGUUCAUGUUAACAUAAUAUGAUUUUUGGUAUUAAUUGACAAAAGCCAUAAAGCUGAUUUUCAUAUGUACUAAUUUCAUGUUUAUCUGGUACUCGAUGACCCUCUUUUGCGCACGCAUACCUGACUGUAGUAAUUUGUCAAUCUCUUCGACUCUUGUUUGCAUACAUUUUUCUGACCCCAAAACCAGUUCGGCCUCCGUAGUUCUUCCGAAAUUCAAAUGCAGCAUCUAGGGUAUCAAAUUGCAUCCCUAUUCGAGGAAUCCAAUCAAGAGACUUACUGAUGCCCUCGUAUAAAAUAUUUCUUGGAUGUCAUCCGUCCCACUUCGUAAGUAUUAAAAGAACACAAAUAAGAACUAUAAGAUACUAUGGUUAAUAAAGUAUCAAGAGGUCGUUGUAAAGGAGGAACCUGUUUGCAUUUGUGCCUUCUUGUAACCAUGGACGAGUUUCCAUUGUCGUGCAGAGGAACAAAAGAAUAGCGCAAAAGCAAGACAGUAGAUGCAAUACAAUAGAAGAGAUGUUAAACCCUUUGUUUUUAUCUCUUUUUUUUUUUUUUUUUUGGUUACUUAGUUGACGGCAGUUUACGAAAGUUAACCAUAUGGGUUAGCCUAAAUUAAUUUAAGAGUGAUGUGUCCUGCUCAAAACCCUUAGAUUAGAUAAAGAGUGUGGAUUUAUGAACUUAGACUAACUUUACGGGCUCCUCACUUUAGAGGAGCCGGAUCCGUUUGGUAUUUUUCAUUUCAAAGCGGGUUUGUCUGAUUUGUUGUGGAGGAUGUGCCCCCAUGCUACUGGUUUUUCAGUGUUUCAUAUUGUUGCAGAAAAAAGAAAAAAAAGAAUAUGGAUUAUCCUUGACGAAUGAUCCCCAUAAUGCCACGCAAUUUCUCAACUUUUUUCCAUCAAUUUCGAUUUACCAACGUUUUAUGGUGUCAAAAAAUAUUUUAGCGGAAAUUUAUUAGAGUAAUUUUUAGUAGAUUGGUUUUUUAGCUAUUUCGGAAAGUAUAUCAAAAUGAUCCUAUCUCGUUAAUGAAAGCAGUCACAAAGAUGAUGAAUUUCACUCAUUACACACAAAGAUAACACCGUUAUACAUUUCUUUGUCAUUUAGUCUAUUUUUAUAAAAUGAGCAUAAGACGAUCCAAUUUGCAAAUCGGUUGAUUUGCUAAAUUUGGAUCAUACUGUACUAAUACUAAGAUCACUUGAUCAAUAGCCUUUGAAUUUAAAUUCAAAUAGAACUUAUGUGAUCCAUUCUGAAAAAACUGAUAUGGGCAUUAGAGAUUCAUUUGCAUAUACAAAGCCUUGGUAGGGAAUUCAUUUGCUAACCCAAAUAAAUUGAAGAGCAAGUAGAAGUAGUAACCAAUACUUUUGAGGUGACGGUCGGUAGCUAGGCUUCAUAAUAGCAGAUUAGCAGGCUAGCAGCUAUCUCAUUAUGUAUACAAUGUUUUUUUAACAAGGAAUUAAGAAUGACUUGAACAUGACAUGUUUUUCUUUUACGACAAAACAAAACAUGAAAACAAACUAUAACACCUACAAAUGCUCGAGCACAAUAUAUAAAUUUUUGGAUUGACCACAUAAGGUCAAAUACUCAAAUCAAUAGAUUUUGCAAGUCCUUUUACAAGUUUCAAACGCAUCGAACUUUGAUACACACUUUCAGGAAGGUAUUAGAUUCAACAUCAAACUUGUUUGAAUCAUCUAAAACAUGAUCCAAGUCUUUUUUUUUUUUUUAAAAAAAACUUUUUAUUAAAUAACUCACACACUCUACAUAUGUCAAUGAGAUUUGAACCCAUGACGUCAAAGUUGUUAGUUAACCACCUUAACCAACCACGUCACGGCUCACCGACAAAACAUGAUCCAAGCUUAACUAUUUAUUACAUGACAAUACAAAAUUACAAACCAAACUUAUAUGCAUCUUAUAUAUACUAAUUAAUCUCACAACAAUAGACAUAAUUCAAACUCUAAAGACACCAACAAACCCAGGAACAAUACCGGCCGUACUCUUCAACAAAGCCCCAGCACCAAAGGGCAGUCACAUGAAAAGCACCCGAACCAAAGGAGAAUGAAACAAUGUACCCCUCAAAAAAGCCAGAAAUGCCCCAUAUUGACCGCCUUCAGUGCAUUUUAUUCUUUGAUUUUCUUAUCUUCUCAAGUCUUCCUUUGCCAACGAGCUACUCUCACUGCGAUGGCCGAUUCUACCCUCUCUUGUAUGUUAUCAAAGAAUCGGAAAUAGGCAUACCUCCAUGAUUUCUUCAUAACCAAUGUGCCACAAACACUCCAAAACCCUGUGAUGAAGCCAAGUGCACCCUAACAUACAUACCAAGCUUCCCAUUAUCUUCAUUAUCGUCGUCAUUAUGACCAUCAUCAUCGUUGGGGUCAGCUGGUGCUGGUGCGGCGUCUCCCAGGCAGAGAGUUGAAAGAGGAACCCCACACAAGGAUGGAUUACUCUCGUAAAUGGAUGAAUCAUUGAGUGUUUGAAGUUGGUUACCUAAAGAAUUCUUCCGGACAAGUUGUUGUGAGACAAGUCCAAGUGAGACAAAGAGGUUAAUGAAGAGAGACUGUGUAGAAUAUGUCCGGAGAGGUUAUUGUGCGAGAGAUCAAGAGUUUCCAUCCAUUGCAAGUUUCCAAUCUUUGAGGGAAUAUUUCCGGUCAGAUGAUUUCUGAACAAGUUCAACGUCCCCAAGGCAAUAAGGCUGCUUAUACCUUUAGGGAUUUCACCAUCUAAGUGAUUUGAUGAGAAAUCAAUGGUAUUCACCAAAGGCAGAGUCUUGUUAUACACCAGUUCUUGUCCCUUCAAUGUCAAGGUGGUAGCCUCAAGAAAAUCCGAAAUAAAGGACCGAGUAACACCCGGAUCAGUGUCAUUACCAAAAGCCAAAGCAGUCAAAUUGUACAAACAUUGGGGAAUGGUCCCUGAAAAGUUGUUGCGGCUAAGAUCAAUGACAUGCAGAGAUUGAAAAGAGCACAAUCGAUUGGGAAUAUGUCCGCUUAUGGAGUUCGAUCGCAAUUGGAUCCUACGUAAGUUGAAAGAGAGGGUGAGGUACUAGGAGCUGAUGGAGAUGAUGGUGAAGUAGUGGAUGAUACUUGAGGGGCCACUGGUGAGGUGGGAGAGUUGUAUGGUCUGAUGGAAGAAUGGGAGGGAUCAAGUGACAUAGUGUGUGAUGAGAAAUAAAACUCCAAGAUCUCAGUCGCGGCGUUAUGUGCAGGAGUAGCAGCACUAGUCUCUCGAAAAAAACAAUUUUCAUUAAAGAUGACAUGUUUGGACAAAUAGACUCGACCUGUGGACAACCCUAGACACCGAUAUCCAUGAUGAUUGAGAGUAUUUCUGAGCCUGAGAUACGUUAAUUCAGUUUGAGAUCGAAGCCACAUCCCAAAGGCAGGACCUACUCUGCAGUCAACAAUAUCGAGUAAAUCAAGUUUGAAAGGAGGAACCCAGUCAUGAGCCACAUUCAAACUGAGGGAGAAAGGUUGCUCUGUGCUUAUAGCAAAAGACUCUACCUUUGUGAGAGUUUGGAAAUGGAUUCUGUUAAAAUGCCUUCCCACGAAUUCAAAGAUAGAUCUAGGUCAACUAGUUGUCCCAAACUUGCAGGAAUGGACCCAUUCAUAUGAUUCCUAGAGAUGUAUUGUACAUGCAGAGAGACUCAGCUUAAUAAAGGAGAACGAAUAGGUCAACACUUGCACGUCCUUAUACUCAGAGCAUAAAGAAUGGCUGAUAGGGGCAAUAUUUUAUAAACCAUUAUGCUCAGAAACAUGGUACAAAAUAGACCACCGCAGAUGGCAAUACUUUUGACACAAACCUCCUUCCGAGGCCUCAUCUCUUCUUCAUUCUGGAGCCUACUGCUGCUGUGGUGUGGAUUCAGCUGCUUAUGCUUUCCCUCCAGUAGAAUCAGAUUUUGCUUGUGAUGCUGCCAUUGCUACAACUUCACCAGGAGGUGGGUGGUCAAAUCUGCAGGAUGCGGCAUACUUGCAUGUGCCAGUUUUAAGGUAGUACACACAUAUAACAGCACCCUGUAAAAAAGCUCCACCCUAGUUAUAAGAUUUCAUCAUAAAAGAAUAGAUAUAGUAAAAUGCUAUGCAAUAGAAAACCCUGUCACUUCUCCCUGGAAAAAAAGGUUUCGACUGCUAACAUUCCAUUUCUCCCCUCACUAUCCGACUAUCGUGCAAACCGUAUACUCAUAGUAUUCAUAGCUUUACGAGAUAAGUGCAAUAUGCGCAUGCUGAUUCAAAUACUAAGCACAAUGUAAUCAUUCUUAUUAGGAAUAGGCGCAUGCUUUUCAAGUUUUAUGGAAUAUACUGGUACCCUGCUUAAAACAAGGAUUUGUUAACCCUACUGAUAAAAAGACGGGAUGAUCCCAAUAGAGUAUAGCUCCACCAUUCGUACCUCUCUCCUAGGUAGUCCAGCUAGUGUUAGCUUCACAUUUUCUUGUUGAGAUGGUUUUGUUGUUGACAACGGCACUGCUGGCCUAUCUAUUGGGUGAUGGAAUCUGCAUUGUGCACCAUACUUACAAACCCCAGUCUUCAUAUAGUACUACAACAUGGAAAAACCACAGUACAUAAACAUGAGAGUGAUCAUCAUAAAGUUCUGAAUGAUUCAGAUACAUGAAAAAGUAAUCAAACAGGACCAUUUCUGGCCAAAUGUGUACCAUAAGAUUCAAUAAUGUGGAUAGAUGAAGCAACACUUUAUGAAUAAUAUGAUGAGAACUAGAACGUGUUGAAAAUCAAAUUCAUAUACUCUCUUAGGAUCACUUUAAUUUUAAUAUUUUUGGUUAAAGGAUCACUUUAAUAGUACUGUAAAUACAACUCUGCUCUGGAAGGCCAAUCAUAUAAAAUUGGAAUCAAAUUUAACUAAAGAAGUUGCUUACUUCACACUCAGUUUGUCCGAAGCGCUGAGGAUAGACAGUAGGGUUCACUCCCAUCUGCGACGUGCAUAUAAUAACAUGAAUCAAUUUUAUAGGUGUAUGUGCGCGCGCACAGAUAUAUAUAUAUAUAUAUAUAUAUAUAUAUAUAUAUAUAUAGAGAGAGAGAGAGAGAGAGAGAGAGCUUCAGUUCAGUUACUGAUCAAACAAAAGGCCAGGUUAGACUUAUAAUACAAUAGGCCAUACUUACCGUUGUUUGCCCCAAAGUUUGGUAAGUGAAGGCAGAUGGAUUAGCAACUCCUAAGUUAAAACCAGCAACUGAAGGCGCUGGAAGAGGAUAACUGAUUGCAGCAACAGGUGGAUUGAUAUCUGCCCAAAAACUUAGCAAUUAAAUUCUGAUGCACACAAUUGGUUAAACCACAUGUAAAUAAACUCUAGAAUCUUGAGAAACAUAAUCUUAAAUAUAUACCAUAUCUAUCAGGGUGGUUGUACCGGCAAGUGGCCCCAUACUUGCAACUGAUUUAAUAAAACAAAAGCCAUUAUGACUUCUCAGUCAUCUAUAGUAAUCAUAAUCUAACAACAAAAGAAGACAUAACUGACCUUCCAGUCUUCAGGUAGAAUGGACAAUCAGCUUCACCCUGGUAGAAACAACAGACACAUGAUCAGAAAAGCAAUAUUAUCAUAAAGCUGAUACUGCAAUUUUGAAGAGGCUCAAUCAUCUGUACUAGUACAUACCGGUCUCACAGGAAGCUCUUUGGAAUUAUAUAAUAGUGCUGGAGUGAAUGAAACAAGAGGCUUCACAGCAACUUCACUGCUUUCCGUCUUAAGAGCUGUCUCAGUUUCGGCAGAUUUAUUCUCUUGAGUGGUUGAUGGUAUCUGGAUGUCUUUUGGGUGAUUAAAUUUGCAGGUUGCACCAUACUUGCA